UACGGGAGGCAGCAGUGGGGAAUCUUGCGCAAUGGGCGCAAGCCUGAUGCAGCCAUGCCGCGUGAAUGAUGAAGGUCUUAGGAUUGUAAAGUUCUUUCACCGGUGACGAUAAUGACGGUACCCGGAGAAGAAGCCCCGGCUAACUUCGUGCCAGCAGCCGCGGUAAUACGAAGGGGGCUAGCGUUGCUCGGAAUUACUGGGCGUAAAGGGCGCGUAGGCGGAUCGUUAAGUCAGAGGUGAAAUCCCAGGGCUCAACCCUGGAACUGCCUUUGAUACUGGCGAUCUUGAGUAUGAGAGAGGUAUGUGGAACUCCGAGUGUAGAGGUGAAAUUCGUAGAUAUUCGGAAGAACACCAGUGGCGAAGGCGACAUACUGGCUCAUUACUGACGCUGAGGCGCGAAAGCGUGGGGAGCAAACAGGAUUAGAUACCCUGGUAGUCCACGCCGUAAACGAUGAUUGCUAGCCGUCGGGCUGCAUNCUNUUCGGUGACGCAGCUAACGCAUUAAGCAUUCCGCCUGGGGAGUACGGUCGCAAGAUUAAAACUCAAAGGANUUGACGG
rnacentral:rRNA from 1 species